AUUGAACGCUGGCGGCAGGCCUAACACAUGCAAGUCGAGCGGAUGAAGGGAGCUUGCUCCUGGAUUCAGCGGCGGACGGGUGAGUAAUGCCUAGGAAUCUGCCUGGUAGUGGGGGAUAACGUCCGGAAACGGGCGCUAAUACCGCAUACGUCCUGAGGGAGAAAGUGGGGGAUCUUCGGACCUCACGCUAUCAGAUGAGCCUAGGUCGGAUUAGCUAGUUGGUGGGGUAAAGGCCUACCAAGGCGACGAUCCGUAACUGGUCUGUGAGGAUGAUCAGUCACACUGGAACUGAGACACGGUCCAGACUACUACGGGAGGCAGCAGUGGGGAAUAUUGGACAAUGGGCGAAAGCCUGAUCCAGCCAUGCCGCGUGUGUGAAGAAGGUCUUCGGAUUGUAAAGCACUUUAAGUUGGGAGGAAGGGCAGUAAGUUAAUACCUUGCUGUUUUGACGUUACCAACAGAAUAAGCACCGGCUAACUUCGUG
rnacentral:rRNA from 1 species